UACGAAGGGGGGCUAGCGUUGCUCGGAAUCACUGGGCGUAAAGCGCACGUAGGCGGAUUGCUAAGUCAGGGGUGAAAUCCUGGAGCUCAACUCCAGAACUGCCUUUGAUACUGGCGAUCUUGAGUCCGGGAGAGGUGAGUGGAACUCCGAGUGUAGAGGUGAAAUUCGUAGAUAUUCGGAAGAACACCAGUGGCGAAGGCGGCUCACUGGCCCGGUACUGACGCUGAGGUGCGAAAGCGUGGGGAGCAAACAGG
rnacentral:rRNA from 1 species